rnacentral:rRNA from 1 species
CGAACGUAGGUAAUCUACCUUUGGAUGGGGAAUAACAACCGGAAACGGUUGCUAAUACCGCAUAAUGCAGCGGCACCUAAUGGUGACAGUUGUUAAAGCGGGGGAUCGAAAGACCUCGCGUCUGAAGAGGAGCCUGCGGCGGAUUAGCUAGUUGGUAAGGUAAUGGCCUACCAAGGCUACGAUCCGUAACCGGCCUGAGAGGGCGGUCGGUCACACUGACACUGACAUACGGGUCAG